rnacentral:tRNA from 1 species
GGCUGUCGCACAGUGGUAGAGCGCUCGCCUACACACGUGAGGCCCUGGGUUCAAUCCUCAGCACCA